GGUGAUAUAGCUCAGUUGGUUAGAGCGACCGGCUCAUAAUCGGUAGGUUCGCUGGUUCGAGUCCAGCUAUCACCA
rnacentral:tRNA from 1 species